GUCAGCGUGGCCGAGCCUUCUGCGGCCAAAGGGCGUGCCAGUAAGGCCUGUGAAAUAGUCUGGGAAAGAGCCGAGGACAUGGAGCCCAUGGCGGCCAUUAUGGCAUCCGUAACGGAGCGCUGUAGAGCUAGGGAUUGGGCAUCGUCAGGUACUGACAUAGGGUCACCUGCGGAGGAAGGGGGGCCAGAGCUGGCAGAGGGGUUAACCAAAGCAUGGGGUAUAUCCA